UACCGUGCGUUGACAGGGACUAGUAAAUAAUUGAAGGUGCGCUAGAGAACAGCAUCCAUCGGCUGGAAGAUGCUCCGCUCCGUUCUUAUUGAACCUGCCCUUGAGCUAUUCGGACAAAAACCGAAUCGUUUUCUUCACGUUACGAAGCGAUUAAGUGAGUACGCGUUCGUCGUAUUAACAAAGGUGGUACCGCGGGUAAAGCCUCUCCCCGUCCUUUUU
rnacentral:ncRNA from 1 species